rnacentral:pre_miRNA from 1 species
UUGGGGAUGGGGGGCGUCCCUCAGCCCGGAUUGCAAGAGGGUGCAGGCCAGGCUGAGGGACCUCACCGGUGCAUG